rnacentral:rRNA from 1 species
AACGGCCAUUGAUACUGCUAGACUUGAAUUACUGGGAAGUAACUAGAAUAUGUAGUGUAGCGGUGAAAUGCUUAGAGAUUACAUGGAAUACCAAUUGCGAAGGCAGGUUACUACUAGUGGAUUGACGCUGAUGGACGAAAGCGUGGGUAGCGAACAGGAUUAGAUACCCUGGUAGUCCACGCCGUAAACGAUGGAUACUAGCUGUUGGGGGCAACUUCAGUGGCUAAGCGAAAGUGAUAAGUAUCCCACCUGGGGAGUACGA